AUUUGAGUAGCUUAAUUGUAAAGCUUUACAUUGAAGCUGUAAAUAUGGUAAUUAUUACCCUCAGAUA
rnacentral:tRNA from 1 species